CGUCAGCCGGACCGACAUGCACCGCGCCGGCCUGGUUCGGUUGAGAGCGAGCUCCCCCGCCCGCUCCGGCUAUUGUGCUGUGUCAUAACGGCCGAACCACCCACAAGCGAUGGGGGGAGGCCUAAAGCGACCAACGGGACUGUGGAGCCGCUCAUCUGUCCCUGCGGGUGGGGGCGGAAUACAUCAGCGCCCAAUAUGGAACUGACACUUGUGGCGCGGCCUAUUCACCCGGUCCCUGGGGGGUUUGGGGACGCGGCCCCUAGUGACACCCAAUGGAACAGUCUGGAGCGGUCUAUCGAUCCUGAGGGGUGCGCGGAGGAGCAGCCCCUACUGGCACCGAAUGGAAUUGAGUGUGGAGUGGUUCAUCUGCCCCUGGGGAAGAGGGGGGAAGACCAGCCCCCCCAUGGAACUGCUUGGAGCAGCCCCUGCUGCCUGUGGACUGGCCCAUCUGCCCUGGGGGACAUGGUGGGGGCCCAAGGGAGCAGCUAGCGCCAGGCUGUCCUGCCCAGCUCCCCGCCGGGCGAGAGUCGCCCCCCUGGGACGGGGCAGGCCCUGGCUCUCACCCUGCCCCCACCUCCAGGCCUGGCGCCUCACCCGCAGGGGGCAGAGCCCAGCCACCAGCUGCCCUGGGAAGGAGCAGGCCCCUUGCCACGCACAGCCAAGGCUGGGCGCUGGUUGCCAGCCAGGAUCACCCGCAAGGAGGGCGGAUGCUCUGGCCGCGAUGGAUGCCCAGCCAAGAGCAAUGGAGCGCUCCAGCGGAGCGCGAGCACGCUCAGGCCCAGCAUGACGGGCCCCCCGGCGUCGACCAAGUGCCUUGACGGGGUGGCCUAGCCAAAGGCCUGCUUAGAUUGUAAACGCUUUGGGCCUAGCACUCUGAGGCCUUGGGGCCUGGAGGCAUUAUCACAAUACAACCACUAAACUACCGAGCAACAUUUGUUAAAAAAAAAAAAAAAACACAGGCGCUUUGGACCAAGGCCCACAUCAUCUUCUUCCAUCUCUUUGGUUUAUCUGUGUCCAUUAGAGGUAGGGAUGCUAGGUUUUUUGAUGCCUAAAGGAACAUUUUAUGCAGAAACUGCAACAUCAUUUGCUAACAGAACAGAGCUUUUGUACGUUACUCCUGCAGACCAUGCCCAACAAGGACUUGCGGCAAGGGAAGACGUUACUGUGCAGGCAGUUCUGGGAGCUGUCUCCCUUCGCUCGUAGCCAACGCUGUUAAUGGAGCAAGAGAACACACAAUAAACUAGGCAAUAUUUGUUCCAGUGCAGAAAAGGAGAAGCCUGAGGAAGGGUGUGAAGAAUCUCACCUAAUAGGACUGAGUGCCCCGAUUCCUGUUUUACUCCACCUCAAGGCUAAGUGCAGUUAACCAUUAUGGCCAAGAUGAAGCACGAGGCACAGCUAUCACUACGGCUAAGCUAGAGACAAGAUCAUUUCUUCCUACAGUAGCUUUCAGUAUAUUUGUGAUAACUACAUUAUUGCCAUCUAUGUAUUUUCCUAGCAAGAGCCUGAUGUCAAAGAAUUGAGUCUACUGCAUGCUCAAGCAGAAGAAAAGCUGUGUUUAUAAGGAUGAAAGUUCUAAUUCAAAUCAUAUGUCUCCAAUAAGUAUCAAGGUAGAUACAAAGGAAAAUGACAAGCCAAGAUAACGUGUAACUUUUCCUCCCCACAAAAAUAGUUGCUCGAUUGUGAAAGUCACACUUCAAACAUCUUUUAUACCAUUUAUAGGCCUGAAGUGUGUUUAACAUCUAUUGUGGUUUCUUUUAAAAAAAAAAAAAAAAAAAUUCUAUGUAAAUGUAUGAACACAUACUAACACACAAUUAUUUUA